UGAGAUGCAGUUGUGCCUGAUAG
rnacentral:piRNA from 2 species